rnacentral:lncRNA from 1 species
AAAGGGGUUCCACGAGAUUGCUGCCAUCAAAAGAUGAUUUUUCAUCUUUAAUCCUCUGGUUUGAAGGUUCUCAAGGUGGAGUUUUAGAUCUGGAAGCAAAAAAAAUUGAUCAAGGCCCUUCCAAAGGUAAAUCCCCUAGAUCUACAAGAUUGCUGAAUUUUCUUGUAGAUUGUUUUGUUCUAGAUGAUAGAUCAAAGAUCAAAACUUUUCUCAAACCCUUGUUGCUG